UACGGAGGUGGCAAGCGUUGCUCGGAAUCACUGGGCGUAAAGGGCGCGUAGGCGGGAAGGUAAGUCGGGUGUGAAAUCCCUCGGCCCAACCGAGGAACUGCGCCCGAGACUGCUUUUCUUGAGUCCCGGAGAGGAAGGUGGAAUUCCCGGUGUAGCGGUGAAAUGUGUAGAGAUCGGGAGGAACACCGGUGGCGAAGGCGGCCUUCUGGACGGUGACUGACGCUGAGGCGCGAAAGCGUGGGGAGCAAACAGG
rnacentral:rRNA from 1 species